rnacentral:rRNA from 1 species
CACGUAGGCGGAUUGAUCAGUUGGGGGUGAAAUCCCGGGGCUCAACCCCGGAACUGCCUUCAAUACUGUCAGUCUAGAGGUCGAGAGAGGUGAGUGGAAUUCCGAGUGUAGAGGUGAAAUUCGUAGAUAUUCGGAGGAGCACCAGUGGCGAAGGCGGCUCACUGGCUCGAUACUGACGCUGAGGUGCGAAAGCGUGGGGAGCAAACA